UGGUGACGAAUGGUUAUCUGUAUACUAUUACUAUAAAUUAUAAUCGUCCUAUGUAGCACAAAAGUAUUACAGUAAUCGUCCUAAAUGUACCUCAGGUGAAUACUUCAACUUGCAUAGAAGCAAUUUGGAUAGGCAACCAAUGAUCUAUUGAAGAAAAUAAAUGAAAAAAACCAAUGGAAUGGAAUAAUUUUAGGUUAGAUAUACACGAAUACGAAUCGAACUAACGGGUCCAUGGAGCUCGUUUACGCGACCUCUGGGCGGUCAUCUCGUGGUUAAAUGCGCGAGAGGCUUUCUCCGUGGAUCGGAAUGCGGCCUCUCCCUCUGACCGGCUCUCUGACUUGCUUCGAGGAUAGCCAUGGAGCUGUACGUCGGCUUCCAGAAUCGGAUAAAAGGAUUUGGACAGUCUGUGAGAUGAGUUGGUAACCUUGGUGACAACAAAUACGACUUCCAAAUUUGAACAUGCGACAUAUAGGUCAAGGUCAUUAUAGAGAUUAUAUUCAUACAGAUGUGAACUAGGAGAUUUUUUUAGAUAUUCCAAUUUGUACGCGAGAUUAUAGACCAUGUUAUCAUUUAGAUAAUAAUCAAUUAAUAAAAACGUUGAGUAGCCAAAUAUUAAUCAGGCAUAACAGCAGAGAAAAAUAUUCAUAACUGUACAAAUAUGUUCUAUUCUCUUCUAUCUAAGAUUAUUUACAAACAUGUAAUGUAAACACAAUAAUACUACCAAAAUAUUCCCAAUAUAAUGCUAUACUACGA